rnacentral:rRNA from 1 species
CCUACGGGUGGCAGCAGUGGGGAAUAUUGGGCAAUGGACGCAAGUCUGACCCAGCAACGCCGCGUGAAGGAAGAAGGCUUUCGGGUUGUAAACUUCUUUUAAGGGGGAAGAGCAGAAGACGGUACCCCUUGAAUAAGCCACGGCUAACUACGUGCCAGCAGCCGCGGUAAUACGUAGGUGGCAAGCGUUUUCCGGAUUUACUGGGGGUAAAGGGCGUGCAGCCGGAGAGACAAGUCAGAUGUGAAAUCCACGGGCUCAACCCGUGAACUGCAUUUGAAACUGUUUCCCGUGAGUGUCGGAGAGGUAAGCGGAAUGCCUGGUGUAGCGGUGAAAGGCGUAGAUAUAAGGAAGAACACCAGUGGCGAAGGCGGAUUACUGGACGAUAACUGACGGUGAGGCGCGAAAGCGUGGGGAGCAAACAGGAUUAGAUACCCCGGUAGUC